GCAGUGCUUUUACUGCUGCCAGUUUUGGUUUGCUUGAAGAGGAGGGAAUGGAUGACGAUGAUGAAUCUGUGUUGACUGCAGAAAAGGAUGAUGAUGAAGAGGAAGAUUCUGCGAUCAAGUUUUCAGGUAAGAAGAAGUCAUCCAAAUCUUCAAAGAAGAGUGGUUUUUCUGCAGUGUCAGCAUUCACUGCCCUUAAUGAUGAGAAUGAUGAGGAUGUAAUUGGUGAUGAGGUCAGGGUUGAUGAAGAUAUUGAUGAUGAGCCUGUUAUUGCAUUUACUGGUAAGAAGAAGUCAUCAAAAGGUGGCAAGAAGGCCGGGAGUGCAUUUACAGGUUUUAGUGGUCUUGACUAUGAGGACGAGGACAGAGAUGAUGAUGAUAAAGAUGGGGAUGAAGAUGUUACAUCAAUUAGCUUCUCUGGUAAGAAAAAGAAGUCAGCUAAGGCUUCAAAGAAGGGUGGAAAUUUGUUUAGUGCAGCAUUAGCAGAUGAGGAAAAUGGUGGCGAUGUUUCUAUUUCAGAGCCAAAUAAAUUAGACAAUGAUGGUGUUAAUGAAGACGAUGUCAAUGUUAUUGCAUUUUCUGGUAAGAAAAAGUCCUCUAAGAAGAAAAGCAGCAGUACUUUUACUGCAUUAAAUGAUGAAAAUGCGCAGGGCAAUGAAGUUAAGGAUGUAGUUGUACCUGAAAUACUUAAUACAGUAAGUAGCAAUCUUGAUUCUGAUUUAUCUAAUGCUAACAAGAUGGAAGCGGUGGCAGAGACUUCAAAAAAUAAAAAGAAAAAGAAGAAGAGCGGAAGGACUGCUCAAGAAGAAGAUGAUUUGGAUAAGAUUCUGGCUGAGCUAGGAGAAGGGCCUACCAUAUCAAAACCAGCAGACCCUCCCCUUUCUUCCCAGGAGGCCAAAGUUGAGAAUCCACCUGAG
rnacentral:misc_RNA from 1 species